ACCAAUUACUAAACCUUAGCAAACCUGCUCAAAUCGGGUUUUUACUGAGUCUUCAGAUUGGUCAAGCUCACCAAAUGGUAAACGCUAUGAAGGUCACGAUACCCUGGGGUGCAAGCCAGCUCCAGGCUCUAUC
rnacentral:sRNA from 14 species